rnacentral:rRNA from 1 species
UACGAGGGGGGCAAGCGUUGUUCGGAAUUAUUGGGCGUAAAGGGCGCGUAGGCGGUGCGGUAAGUCACCUGUGAAAACUCUGGGCUCAACUCAGAGCCUGCAGGCGAAACUGCCGUGCUUGAGUGUGGGAGAGGUGCGUGGAAUUCCCGGUGUAGCGGUGAAAUGCGUAGAUAUCGAGAGGAACACCUGCGGCGAAGGCGGGUUGCUGGGCUGACACUGACGCUGAUGCGCGAAAGCCAGGGGAGCGAACGGG